AUCGCUUCUCUGCCUUUUGGCUAAGAUCAAGUGUAGUAUCUGUUGUUAUCAGUUUAAUAUCUGAUAUGCCCUCUAUUUGAGGACUCUAUAUUAAAUGGAUUUUUGGGACUGGGAAAUAAAAAAAAGUCAAAAUAGUAAUAAACGUUUAUUAGGAUGUGUGAUGAUGAUGACAUCACCACCACCACUAACACCACCAUCA
rnacentral:snRNA from 1 species